rnacentral:rRNA from 1 species
AUUGAACGCUGGCGGCAGGCCUAACACAUGCAAGUCGAGCGGAUGACGGGAGCUUGCUCCUUGAUUCAGCGGCGGACGGGUGAGUAAUGCCUAGGAAUCUGCCUGGUAGUGGGGGACCACGUUUCGAAAGGAACGCUAAUACCGCAUACGUCCUACGGGAGAAAGCAGGGGACCUUCGGGCCUUGCGCUACCAGAUGAGCCUAGGUCGGAUUAGCUAGUUGGUGGGGUAAUGGCUCACCAAGGCGACGAUCCGUAACUGGUCUGAGAGGAUGAUCAGUCACACUGGAACUGAGACACGGUCCAGACUCCUACGGGAGGCAGCAGUGGGGAAUAUUGGACAAUGGGCGAAAGCCUGAUCCAGCCAUGCCGCGUGUGUGAAGAAGGUCUUCGGAUUGUAAAGCACUUUAAGUUGGGAGGAAGGGCAGUAAGUUAAUACCUUGCUGUUUUGACGUUACCGACAGAAUAAGCACCGGCUAACUCUGUGCCAGCCGCCGCCGUAAUAC